CAACAUCUUAGUCUUCAAGCGCCACUUAAUGGAGGACUAAAUGUUUACGUCACGUGUGUUUACCGUGGAUGAAUAUUGUGAGUGGUGUUCUCUAGAGAGCGUGUAUUUUAGAGAAGAACGUUCUCUAACGGGGGUAUGCUUCUGCUCCUGGUAGAGCCUGUAAUCUACAAUCUGGGGGUGUGAUUUUGGGUGUCUCCAAGAAAGUACCACGAAGCUGUAACCAAAGCCUGGCAUGGAAUCCAGGAGACCUGGUGUGGGCCCAUGAUUUACUCCACAUCUCACCGAUCAAAGCGCCCAUGAAGAUUGAAAAUCAUCAAGGCGGGUGUGGAAGUGUUGCUGGGAAGGAGCUCCAGGAUGGUUAACACUCCAAGGCAUUUAGUGACGUUACCCUACCAUGCAUACUUUUGAAAAUAGAACUUGUGGGCUUGGAAAAAGCUGCAAGAGCAGUUCAGCUCUGCCAGUUUUUUUGCACACACUGGAGAAGAAAUGAAUAAGUUUGACAUUGU